GACUACUGGGGUAUCUAAGCCUGUUUGCUCCCCACGCUUUCGUGCCUCAACGUCAGUGUUGAUCCAGAUGGCCGCCUUCGCCACGGAUGUUCCUCCCGAUCUCUACGCAUUUCACCGCUACACCGGGAAUUCCGCCAUCCUCUAUCACACUCUAGUCCGCCAGUAUCGGAUGCAGUUCCCAGGUUGAGCCCGGGGCUUUCACAUCCGACUUAGCGAACCAUCUACGCACGCUUUACGCCCAGUAAUUCCGAUUAACGCUUGCACCCUUCGUAUUACCGCGGCUGCUGGCACGAAGUUAGCCGGUGCUUAUUCCUCAGGUACCGUCAGCACGUCAGAGUAUUAAUCCAACGCUUUUCGUUCCUGAUAAAAGUGCUUUACAACCCGAAGGCCUUCUUCACACACGCGGCAUUGCUGGAUCAGGCUUGCGCCCAUUGUCCAAUAUUCCCCACUGCAGCCCCCCGUAGG
rnacentral:rRNA from 1 species